rnacentral:ncRNA from 2 species
AUGACGAUUGCAGGAGAUGCGCCCAAGGCCGUGUGGCAGAAGGGCGAGCCGAAGGAAUAAGCGCAGUGUAAGGCCGAAUCUGCGCGAAUAUCUCAGGCAAAGGGACUGUAAUCUGACG